UACGAGGGGUGCAAGCGUUGCUCGGAAUUAUUGGGCGUAAGGGUAGGUAGGUGGUCUCAUUUGUCAGGGGUGAAAGCCUUGGGCUUAACUCAAGAAGUGCCCCUGAAACGGCGAGACUCGAGUACUGGAGAGGGUCGUGGAAUUCCCGGUGUAGCGGUGAAAUGCGUAGAGAUGUGGAGGAACACCGAUGGCGAAGGCAGCCCCCUGGGUCAAGAUUGACGCUCAUGCACGAAAGCGUGGGGAGCAAACAGG
rnacentral:rRNA from 1 species